AGUGGGGGAUAACGUAGCGAAAGUUACGCUAAUACCGCAUAUGCCCUGAGGGGGAAAGGAGGGGAUCGUAAGACCUUUCGCUUUCGGAGUGGCCGAUAUCGGAUUAGCUAGUUGGUGAGGUAAAGGCUCACCAAGGCGACGAUCCGUAGCUGGUCUGAGAGGACGACCAGCCACACUGGAACUGAGACACGGUCCAGACUCCUACGGGAGGCAGCAGUGGGGAAUUUUGGACAAUGGGCGCAAGCCUGAUCCAGCCAUGCCGCGUGAGUGAAGAAGGCCUUCGGGUUGUAAAGCUCUUUCAGCCGGAAAGAAAUCCUACUCGUUAAUACCGAGUGGGGAUGACGGUACCGGAAGAAGAAGCACCGGCUAACUACGUGCCAGCAGCCGCGGUAAUACGUAGGGUGCGAGCGUUAAUCGGAAUUACUGGGCGUAAAGCGUGCGCAGGCGGUUUCGUAAGACAGAUGUGAAAUCCCCGGGCUUAACCUGGGAACUGCAUUUGUGACUGCGAGACUAGAGUGUAGCAGAGGGGGGUAGAAUUCCA
rnacentral:rRNA from 1 species